ACAUGCCUACAACAUAGCAUUAAUGCACUAGAUCCCAUUAGAACUUCGCAGUUAAGCACACUCAGGCCAGAGUAGUACUAGGAUGGGUGACCACCCGAGAAGUCCUAGUGUUUUACAUGCC
rfam:Picea glauca, whole genome shotgun sequence.